CCAGCAGCCGCGGUAAUUCCAGCUCCAAUAGCGUAUAUUUAAGUUGCUGCAGUUAAAAAGCUCGUAGUUGGAUUUCGGGUGGGGCCUGCCGGUCCGCCGUUUCGGUGUGCACUGGCCGGGCCCACCUUGUUGCCGGGGACGGGCUCCUGGGCUUUAUUGUCCGGGACUCGGAGUCGGCGAGGUUACUUUGAGUAAAUUAGAGUGUUCAAAGCAGGCCACCGCUCUGAAUACAUUAGCAUGGAAUAACACGAUAGGACUCUGGCCUAUCUUGUUGGUCUGUAGGACCGGAGUAAUGAUUAAGAGGGACAGUCGGGGGCAUUCGUAUUUCAUUGUCAGAGGUGAAA
rnacentral:rRNA from 1 species